CGGAAAGUCUCCCGCGGGGAGGGGCGCGCUACCUUCCCGAGUGACGUAACUUCCGGUUAUGCGCCGCCCUUCAGCUCCGGGCGCCGGAGCCGUCCUUUUGGAACCGGGCAAAGGUGUCUGCGCAGACUCGGCGUCGCCCGGGAUCUCACUGGGAAGGGCGGUGGGAACCUGCGUGGGAACGGCGGCGCUCGGAAUGCUUUUGCUCGCGCCGUGUAUGGGUUGAACUGUGUCCCCAAAAAGUUAUGUUCAAGUCCUAACCUUCAGUACCUGUGAAUGUGACCUUAUUUGGAAAUAGGGUCUUGGCAGAGCCCAGUUCAAUCGUCAGGCUGGACCUGACAAUUGGCGCCUGAACAGGUCACUGAGGACUUGGGACACAGAAGGUGAGGAACUCCUCCGGAAAAAAGAGUGCACUCGUAAAGAAGGAGCAAUGCAGCCAAUUCGGGUGCCAGAGAGUUACGUGUGUCACCGAAAUGGACUCAGACAAGCUCCUGUGUCCCUUCACUCGAAAGGACUAAGUACUACCCUAAUGACAGCAGAGGAAGCAGAAAAACUGAAAGCUACGCAAGGGACUGAGGUGCCAACAUAGAGUCAUCUGAAGAAGUUAACAACUGAAGUGCAGCAGAUUAUGGAAAAGCAAGAAGUUGAAGCUACUUCAACCAUGUUCCUGCUCAUGCUAGCAUCUAUUAGCUGCAGGUCUUGUGCAAAGUUUUACGCAGGCAAACAAAAGACUCUAAGUAAAUAUACACCAGGAACACCAGCAGCAAAAGAGACUUUCUUUCAUUUAGUAGCUAAAAAUAUUAAUAUGUCCAUAGUUUUGAUUUCUCUCUUAUUGUUUUAUUAUUAUUUAAUAGCCAUAGUUUUGCUGUUAACAUUCAAGUUUUAAAAAUGAUAACAUGUAUAUAAUUUAAUUUUGCAUUGGCAUUGUUUUAAUAUUAGAGCUUUGUUAUUGAUAUUUAAAAUUUACUUUUAUUAUUAGUAGCCUAAAAAACAGACAUCAGUAGAUUACAUGGAGAGAUUCAAGCUAUUAAUGAUGUAAGUUCUGCUCUGUUGCCUCCUAGCGAAGUGGCACAGAAUAUUUUUGAUAAAAUUCUAAGCCUUAUGUUUUCUCAUGGAUUGCAGUCAUUCACCUGGUCUCUGUUAAUUAUUGUUACCCUUGCUCUCGUUAUUCUCUGUUUAAUUCCAGUCUGCUUCCGAACCAUUGGAUCCAGCAUCCAGUCCCUGCAAAUAGGACUACAUGAACUUUGCUUAAAAGACAGAGAAGGGAGAUCUGUGGGGAGCGGGCUGUAAGCUGACACGGUCCUUGCACCUGUAGGGGCUAGCAAGGCUGGCACCUACCCCCACAGAUUUCCCAGGCCUGUGUGGAUGGCAACUAAUCAGUAUAACGAGAGCAGCCCCUGCCUACAGAGCUUUCCCAGGGUUUGUUUAUAUGACUGCUAUCAGUAGGAUAAGAGCUACUUUCAUGGCUUACCAAGA